rnacentral:rRNA from 1 species
UACGUAGGGGGCAAGCGUUUGUCCGGAUUUAUUGGGCGUAAAGAGCGUGUAGGCGGCUUUACAGGUCCGUUGUGAAAACUCGAGGCUCAACCUCGAGACGCCGGUGGAAACCGUAAGGCUAGAGUCCGGAAGAGGAGAGUGGAAUUCCCGGUGUAGCGGUGAAAUGCGCAGAUAUCGGGAAGAACACCCGUGGCGAAGGCGGCUCUCUGGGACGGUACUGACGCUGAGACGCGAAAGCGUGGGGAGCGAACAGG